rnacentral:tRNA from 1 species
AGGGAGUUAGUCCAAGAUAAGACCUCUGAUUUCGGCUCAGAAAAUUGUGGUUUGACUCCACAGCCCCCUU